GUUAUCAGAAGGAAGGAGCAGUUGCUAUGUCAAGGCCAAAGCCAACAGCGAGCUUGAUAACUCCGUGAGGAUGAGAGGAGUCAUCACUUUUCCUGUUUUAAUUAGUCACAUCAGCUCCUCAAAUGGCAACAUGUCAUCUGCUUCCUUCCAGGCGUUGAUUAUAAACUGAGGAUUGCGUCAUACAGACCACACUGACAUCACAGAGAAGACAGAUGUGAUGACUGUUUCAGAAGAUCAGAGAGUGAGAAGCCCAAAACGCUGCUCCACAAGCUCCAAAGCUCAACGGGGAUCUCCUCAUAUGUCUACAUGAAAAACCAAACUGGCUGCUCUUGUCUGAGACCACAUCCCUCAACUACAGCGCUCUGCUGCAUCGACAGUGCAUAUUAAAAAAAAUGAACAGCUGCUCCUCUUGAUGUAUGAAUGUAUGCACCAGUUGCCGGCCCACAAAGUUAGAUCCCCAUGUCAAAACCUCAGGAAGAUGCCGGUCCCACAGGAACCGGACUGACCACCGCCAUCUGCACUUGACGAGCAGGCCAGCUUCUUUUCUUAUCGUCAGGAAGUUGUGAGGACACCACCAUAAAAGGCCUCUUAGACUAAUACAGUUAUCUGUUGAUGCAGAUGAAAAACUUCCUCUGAAUGAACAUACACAAUAUCUUGGCACACCAGUCAGGAUCCAGCACAGAGGAACCUAUCUUUAAAAUCACAGGCAUGUAAGUAUGCAUCCUCCUGAAUUCCAGUGCCUU